GCUGGUGUAGCUUAGUGGGUAGAGCGUCGGCCUGGGGACUGAAGGGUCCCGGGUUCGAUUCCGGCCAAUGGCA
rnacentral:tRNA from 1 species